rnacentral:misc_RNA from 1 species
UCCGGUUUGUCACCGGCAGUCUCCUUAGAGUUCCCACCAUUACGUGCUGGCAACUAAGGACAAGGGUUGCGCUCGUUGCGGGACUUAACCCAACAUCUCACGACACGAGCUGACGACAGCCAUGCAGCACCUGUCUCUUGGUUCCCGAAGGCACUCUCGCAUCUCCGCAAAAUUCCAAGGAUGUCAAGGGUAGGUAAGGUUUUUCGCGUUGCAUCGAAUUAAACCACAUGCUCCACCGCUUGUGCGGGCCCCCGUCAAUUUCUUUGAGUUUUAGCCUUGCGGCCGUAUUCCCCAGGCGGAGUACUUAAUGCGUUAGUUCCACUACUGAAAGGACUAUUCCUCCCAACAGCUAGUACUCAUCGUUUACAGCGUGGACUAC